GAGCGUGGGCGAAUUGGCAAGCCGCCCGCCAUUGUUGCGGGAGAUCCGGGUUCGAAUCCCGGCGUAGCUCA
rnacentral:tRNA from 1 species